rnacentral:lncRNA from 1 species
UGAUAAUUUUCGACCAUGGAUUUUUCUUCCUUUUCUUUUGCCGCAUUUUGCUAGAAGGUUUGAAGGAAGAUAGUGCAUCAAGCUGUUCGCAUGGGCCAACUUGAUCCUCUUCCCCAGGGAUCUCAGAUGAGGGACCCCUGGGAGAGCCGCCGACUCCAACUAUAGUCCAUGUAUGAUCCAUACAGAUCCGAUCAACUGCCCAUCCUACCUCCUUUACGUUUUUGAUAGCCCAUCUUUGUCUCAAUAGAGUCUUUUAGUAACAUGUUUCGGUCCUCUUCCCCAUUACCUAAAAAAAGUGAGCCAUCGGUUCAAGUACAAGAUACUAUCAUUACUGCCUGGACAAUUAGACAUCCAACCCGUAAUCGCAAUGACCCAAUUGCAAGAGCGGAGCUCUACCAACUAAGUUAUAUCCCCUCGAGCCAAGUGGAGUAUGCAUGAAGUAGUUGAAUCCUUCUUCUAUUCUUUUUCCUGGCGCAAUUGGGCCAUCCUGGAUUUGAACCAGAGACCUCGCCCGUGAAGUAAAUCAUUGCACCUACGGUCCAACCAAUUAGGAGAGAAUCAAUAGAUUCCUUUUCGGGAGCGAUUCAUCCUUCUCGAACGCAGUACACAACUCUCCAUUGUACUAUCUGUAAUCAAAGAAAGAUAAUGGAAAUGACUCUUAUCUUAGUUGGUAGAUUGAUAUUAAAAAAAAUAAUACUAAUAAUUUGACUUAUUUACUAUAA